GUAUUUUCCUAGCAGGGGACAUGUCUUGGUUAUGAUGGUAGUUUUCCCAGGGCAAGGUUUAUCUCGUACACUAGAUGUGCUGACCCCAAAGAUUUCCUCAAAUUCAGGGAACUUGACUACAUAAUUGGGAUAGUGGGGGAUUGCAUUUGAGCUCUCUGA